CAGCCGCCGCGGUUAUACGAGAGACCCAAGUUGUUAGCCAACGGCGUAAAGGGUGGUUAGAACUAUAAACAACAAACUGAGACCGAACACCUUCAAGGCUGUUAUACGCUUCCGAAGCAACGAAGAACAAUAACGAAAGUAGCCUCACUAACUCGAACCCACGAAAGCUAGGACACAAACCGGGAUUAGAUACCCCACUAUGCCUACCCCUAAACACGAUAUGAAACUACGUACAUAUCCGCCCGGUUACUACGAGCAUUAGCUUAAAACCC
rnacentral:rRNA from 1 species